GUCUCCUGGGGAUGCUCUGGUCUCGGACAGCAGGGGAAGCCUGUAGGCGGCUUGGCUGCAGUCAUGCGAAUCUUUUGCACAGCAGGCUUGUGUGGAAACGAAAGGCAAAGAAGAGAGCGGCCGGAAGCGCUUCGUGUCAGAGUUUCUCCCUCGCAGACUGGCACCAGCCUCGUUUCAGCAGACUGAAUGGUCUCUGAGGGAUGAGACACAUGAAGCCAUUUUGCUGCACAGUGGAUGAAUUAUUUGGACUUAAGACAUGCUUCCUUGUGAAGUUGUUACACCAGGUAUCACAUGUCCCAUAAGAGGUGACAGAUGUGUUUCCUUCGUCCUGCUCAGCACAGUUGAAACUGUUUUCCCACUAGGGAGCUUGGCAACAAGGUCACCUCAGGAGCCUCAGCAAAGACCCCACGCUGGCUGUGUGUAUGGUUGCCACGAGGGGCGUCCAGCCCUUGUGGGCUUCCUCCACCUGCACGAAGAAAAUCUCUGCAUCUUUAAGAGAUCGGGAAGCUACAGCUUGAAUUAUAGCUUUGGGGACACUCAUUCCCACCUGGAUGAACAAAAGAAACUAAUAGGUAACAUAUUCAAAACCGACGCCCUUCAAAUUCUCUUCUCUCCACACAAUCUCACAAAACUUAAGAGUCCCAGGCUUGAUGAAAUGACCUCUCCCUGAUGCCCAGACACAGCAACCCAUCACAGAGGUUUCAAGGGGCUUCACCGUCCAACUUCUUCCUCAGAAAAUGAGGCCAGGCUGUGACUGGAGAGGCUCCUGCGUCUGCCAUGAUAUAACCAGACCCAGCAGACAUGCCCCAAAACUCCAGUGACCGCUCCGGCCACUUUCCGUC
rnacentral:lncRNA from 1 species